rnacentral:rRNA from 1 species
CAUGAAGUCGGAAUCGCUAGUAAUCGCGGAUCAGAAUGCCGCGGUGAAUACGUUCCCGGGUCUUGUACACACCGCCCGUCACACCAUGGGAGUCGGGAAUGCCCGAAGUCAGUGACCCAACCUUAGGGAGGGAGCUGCCGAAGGCAGGCCUGGUGACUGGGGUGAAGUCGUAACAAGGUAGC